rnacentral:rRNA from 1 species
UACGUAGGGUGCAAGCGUUAAUCGGAAUUACUGGGCGUAAAGCGUGCGCAGGCGGUUAUGUAAGACAGAUGUGAAAUGCCCGGGCUUAACCUGGGAACUGCAUUUGUGACUGCAUGGCUAGAGUUUGGCAGAGGGGGGUAGAAUUCCACGUGUAGCAGUGAAAUGCGUAGAUAUGUGGAGGAACACCGAUGGCGAAGGCAGCCCCCUGGGUCAAGACUGACGCUCAUGCACGAAAGCGCGGGGAGCAAACAGG